CAAAGGUUGAAACUUUGGGAAGAGAGUUAAGAAUUUGAGCAGUUUCAGAUUCUGGGUCUUGAUUAUUUUGCUCAAAGGUUGAAACUUUGGGGAGAGAGUUAAGAAUUUGAGCAGUUUCAGAUUCUGGGUCUUGAUUAUUUUGCUCAAAGGUUGAAACUUUGGGGAGAGAGUUAAGAAUUUGAGCAGUUUCAGAUUCUGGGUCUUGAUUAUUUUGCUCAAAGGUUGAAACUUUGGGGAGAGAGUUAAGAAUUUGAGCAGUUUCAGAUUCUGGGUCUUCAUGAUUUUGCUGAAAGGUUGAAACUUUGGGAAGAGGGUUAAGAAUCUGAGGAGAUUUGGGUUCUGGGUUUUGCAUAGGAGGGUCAUAUG
rnacentral:lncRNA from 1 species